rnacentral:rRNA from 1 species
GAUCUCGACUGCUGGAAUGCAUCGAGAUCGAAAGCUCCGGCGCCUAAGGAUGGGUCUGCGGCCUAUCAGGUAGUAGUGGGUGUAGCGUACCUACUAGCCUACGACGGGUACGGGUUGUGAGAGCAAGAGCCCGGAGAUGGAUUCUGAGACACGAAUCCAGGCCCUACGGGGUGCAGCAGGCGCGAAAACUUUACAAUGCUGGAAACAGCGAUAAGGGGACCUCGAGUGCCAGGUUACAAAUCUGGCUGUCGUGAUGCCUAAAAAGCAUUGCAUAGCAAGGGCCGGGCAAGACCGGUGCCAGCCGCCGCGGUAACACCGGCGGCUCGAGUGGUAACCGUUAUUAUUGGGUCUAAAGGGUCUGUAGCCGGCCGGAUAAGUCUCUUGGGAAAUCCAGCAGCUCAACUGUUGGGCUUUCAGGAGAUACUGUCUGGCUCGAGGCCGGGAGAGGUGAGAGGUACUUCAGGGGUAGGGGUGAAAUCUUGUAAUCCUUGAAGGACCACCAGUGGCGAAGGCGUCUCACCAGAACGGACCUGACGGCAAGGGACGAAAGCUAGGGGCACGAACCGGAUUAGAUACCCGGGUAGUCCUAGCCGUAAACGAUACUCGCUAGGUGUCGGCCACGGUGCGACCGUUGUCGGUGCCGUAGGGAAGCCGUGAAGCGAGCCACCUGGGAAGUACGGCCGCAAGGCUGAAACUUAAAGGAAUUGGCGGGGGAGCACCACAACGGGUGGAGCUUGCGGUUUAAUUGGA